rnacentral:rRNA from 1 species
GUAGGGAAUAUUGGGCAAUGGAGGCAACUCUGACCCAGCCAUGCCGCGUGCAGGAUGACGGCCCUCUGGGUUGUAAACUGCUUUUAUACGGGAAGAAAAAAUACUACGUGUAGUAUACUGACGGUACCGUAAGAAUAAGGAUCGGCUAACUCCGUGCCAGCAGCCGCGGUAAUACGGAGGAUCCAAGCGUUGUCCGGAUUUAUUGGGUUUAAAGGGUGCGUAGGCGGAUCUUUAAGUCAGUGGUGAAAGCCUGCAGCUUAACUGUAGAAUUGCCAUUGAAACUGAUGGUCUUGAAUUAAGUGGGCGUUGGCGGAAUAUGACAUGUAGCGGUGAAAUGCAUAGAUAUGUCAUGGAACACCGAAAGCGAAGGCAGCUAACGAUACUUAUAUUGACGCUCAUGGACGAAAGCGUGGGUAGCGAACAGGAUUAGAUACCCUUGUAGUCC